UACGUAGGUGGCAAGCGUUGUUCGGAAUUACUGGGCGUAAAGGGCGCGUAGGCGGCCUGCUAAGUCGGACGUGAAAUCCCUCGGCUCAACCGGGGAACUGCGUCCGAUACUGGUGGGCUCGAAUCCGGGAGAGGGAUGUGGAAUUCCCGGUGUAGCGGUGAAAUGCGCAGAUAUCGGGAGGAACACCGGUGGCGAAGGCGGUUCUCUGGGCCUUACCUGACGCUGAGGAGCGAAAGCGUGGGGAGCGAACAGG
rnacentral:rRNA from 1 species